GAGGGUGCAAGCGUUACUCGGAAUUACUGGGCGUAAAGGGUNNGUAGGCUGACUUUUAAGUCAGNNNNGAAAUCCAAUGGCUUAACCAUUGAACUGCGCUUGAAACUGGGAGUCUAGAGUUCAGAAGGGGCAGAUGGAAUUAGUGGUGUAGGGGUAAAAUCCGUAGAUAUCACUAGGAAUAUCAAAAGCGAAGGCGAUCUGCUGGGAUGAUACUGACGCUGAGGCACGAAAGCGUGGGGAGCAAACAGGAUUAGAUACCCUGGUAGUCCACGCCCUAAACGAUGAAUGCUAGUCGUCGGGGAGCUCGUCUCUUCGGUGAUGCACUUAACAGAUUAAGCAUUCCGCC
rnacentral:rRNA from 1 species